GCCGGGUGCGGUGGCGCGUGCCUGUAAUCCAAGCUACCGGGAGGCUGAGGUUGGAGGAUCGUUUGAGCUCAGGAGCUCUGAGCUGCAGCAGGCUAUGUCGAUCGGGUGUCCGCACUAAGUUCGGCAUUGAUAUGGUGAUCCUGGGGAGCCCGGGACCACCAGGUCGUCUAAGGAGGGUGCACCGGCCCAGGUCGGAGACGGAGCAGGUCAAAGCCCCCGUGUCGCUCAGUAGUGGGAUCGCGCCUGUGAAUAGAUGCUGUAGCGCAGCCUGAGCAAUACAGCGAGACCCAAUCUUUA
ensembl:misc_RNA Metazoa_SRP Metazoan signal recognition particle RNA